GGGAAAGUAGCUCAGUGGUAGAGGGCUUGCCUUGCAUGCAUGAGGCCCUGGGUUCGAUUCCUUGGUAUCACA
rnacentral:tRNA from 1 species